UACGGAGGGGGCAAGCGUUGUUCGGAGUUACUGGGCGUAAAGCGCACGUAGGCGGUGCGGUAAGUCAGGGGUUAAAGGCUGCAGCUCAACUGCAGUAAGGCCUUUGAUACUAUCGUGCUAGAGUGCCGGAGAGGGUAGCGGAAUUCCCUGUGUAGCGGUGAAAUGCGUAGAUAUAGGGAGGAACACCGGUUGCGAAGGCGGCUACCUGGCCGGUAACUGACGCUGAGGUGCGAGAGCGUGGGGAGCAAACAGG
rnacentral:rRNA from 1 species